GUCUCCCCCUUCACUUUGCCAGUUAGACACUUCUUGUCUCGUUGGUCAUUCAGGUGGGGUACAGAGAAUAUCCUUUUAAAACCCAGCCAGACUUCUCAUAUUUGGCUUGGAUCCUGUCAGAGGAAACAAAU